rnacentral:rRNA from 1 species
GACGAACGCUGGCGGCGCGCCUAACACAUGCAAGUCGAGCGGAGUAAUGUCUAACACAGAGUAUUAGAAGAAAAAGAAAGCAAGGCAAAGAAUAAAGAUAAUGUGCAAAGCACAUACAUCUUAAGUCUGUGCUCUGCCGUCUCACUUCUGGCUUCUAGUAUUGUGUGUUAGAUGUUACUUAGCGGCGGACGGGUGAGUAACACGUGAGCAACCUGCCUUUCAGAGGGGGAUAACGUUCGGAAACGAACGCUAAUACCGCAUAAUGUAUUUGAGCCACCUGACUUAAAUACCAAAGGAGUAAUCCGCUGAAAGAUGGGCUCGCGCCCGAUUAGGUAGUUGGUGAGGUAAUGGCCCACCAAGCCUGCGAUCGGUAGCCGGACUGAGAGGUUGAACGGCCACAUUGGGACUGAGACACGGCCCAGACUCCUACGGGAGGCAGCAGUGGGGGAUAUUGCACAAUGGAGGAAACUCUGAUGCAGCGACGCCGCGUGAGGGAAGAAGGUUUUCGGAUUGUAAACCUCUGUCUUCGGGGAAGAUAAUGACGGUACCCGAGGAGGAAGCCACGGCUAACUACGUGCCAGCAGCCGCGGUAAUACGUAGGUGGCGAGCGUUGUCCGGAAUUACUGGGUGUAAAGGGAGCGUAGGCGGGUGCGCAAGUUGAAUGUUAAAUCUAUCGGCUCAACCGGUAGCUGCGUUCAAAACUGCGUAUCUUGAGUGAAGUAGAGGCAGGCGGAAUUCCUAGUGUAGCGGUGAAAUGCGUAGAUAUUAGGAGGAACACCAGUGGCGAAGGCGGCCUGCUGGGCUUUUACUGACGCUGAGGCUCGAAAGCAUGGGGAGCAAACAGGAUUAGAUACCCUGGUAGUCCAUGCCGUAAACGAUGAUUACUAGGUGUGGGGGGUCUGACCCCUUCCGUGCCGCAGCUAACGCAAUAAGUAAUCCACCUGGGGAGUACGGCCGCAAGGUUGAAACUCAAAGGAAUUGACGGGGGCCCGCACAAGCAGUGGAGUAUGUGGUUUAAUUCGAAGCAACGCGAAGAACCUUACCAGGUCUUGACAUCGUGCGCAUUACCUAGAGAUAGGGAAGCCCUUCGGGGCGCAUAGACAGGUGGUGCAUGGUUGUCGUCAGCUCGUGUCGUGAGAUGUUGGGUUAAGUCCCGCAACGAGCGCAACCCUUACAGUUAGUUGCUACGCAAGAGCACUCUAACAGGACUGCCGUUGACAAAACGGAGGAAGGUGGGGAUGACGUCAAAUCAUCAUGCCCCUUAUGACCUGGGCUACACACGUACUACAAUGGCCGUUAACAGAGGGCCGCGAAACGGCGACGUUGAGCAAAUCUCCAAAAACGGUCUCAGUUCGGAUUGCAGGCUGCAACUCGCCUGCAUGAAGUCGGAAUUGCUAGUAAUCGCGAAUCAGAAUGUCGCGGUGAAUACGUUCCCGGGCCUUGUACACACCGCCCGUCACACCAAAAGAGCCGGUAACACCCGAAGCUGGUAGUCUAACCGUAAGGAGGACGCCAUCGAAGGUGGGGCUGGUAAUUGGGGUG